GUUAAUACACGCUACUGAUCCCUGAUGGGAGAAUCAUCACCUCUGCCAACAAAGAAGCCUGCUGGAUAUUUGUUUGCAGUCUGAUAAUGGGACAUCAUGCUGUGCAUCUUCAAAGUUUGUCUCUUGAUGAUUAUUCAUAAACAGUAAUGUGAAGUAUGCUUAUAUCUAGUAUAACUGGACCAACGUGGUGCUCUUCAUUUAUGGAGGCUGUUGAGUCUGAAUGUUGGAUGUUGUGUAUCUCGUGUUCUCUGGGCUUUGUUGUCCUCAGUCUUUUUGCAGGAUCAGAAAACAAAACCAGGAUGACCGUAAAUGUUUCUUCUCCAAUUGGAUGAUGAUAAGACUGUGACACGGAAUGCCACCUUUAGUCUUGUGAUGAAGCAAAGCUCAGGAAGAAGUGUGAUUAAAUGGUACCCACAUGUGUGCUGCUGAGAAGGAUGUACAGGGGCACCUGCAGCCAAAUCCAAGCCGCCUCAGAGCAGAGCACCAGUUUGUGCUCACAGAUGGUGACGGUGUGGAGAGACGGUGGUGUUUCCUCAGAAGAACUAGCAGAGUCACAAAGAGCACCAGUCCAUCUCACCACCUUGACUUGCUGACUGAUGCUCGUCUGCACUGCACAGAGGAAAUCAACUGAUCGAGGUUUGUCCAGUGACGUGUUAUGAAAUGUAUAUUUGUUUUAUGCUUACAGAUAUGUUUUUCUUGACAGAGGGGCUCUGCAGACAAAGCAGAGAAAAUAUGUGCUUUACAUUUUACUGUGAUUUACUGGGAUAUUUGUUGCCUGAUGUUCAACAGGAAUGGAGAAAUAGAUUCAAAGGGAGAUGUUUUUGAUGUUUUUGUGAGUAAAUCUUCAGUAUUAUUUAUUUGCUUGGUUAUUUUAGGAGUGUUUCUGAGUGAGGGAGAGAGGAGUCAUCAUCCAGGUAAAGUGACGUGGAUCAGUGGACACACUUGUCUCCCCUUUAAAGGAGAUACUCUUAGAGAGAGACGAUCCGAGUCAUCCUUAAAUAUGGGCAGGAUAUCAGUCUUGGACAGUCUAACCUGCCGGAGCAGCACUGAAUGAUCACCACACAUGAGCAUGUUCCUGCAACAUUCAGCAGCUUUGCUUUUGUGUCAAAUGUCAAACAGCUGGAGAGGAAACUACACCAGUGUACUGGAAUGUUUCACCAACACGUGCCAGAUGCUGUUCCUUCAUGGUUUCAUCACCAUGAAAGUUUCAGAGACAGCCCCGCCCACCUCAGGACCUCGCCAUUGAUCAUGAUGAUUAUAAUAAUGACAGCGAGCGGAACUAAGACUGUAAAAAUCCAUGACCAGAAUGUUUAGAUGCUUUCUAAUUAUUAAUGAAUACUGAGAGCCUCUUUCUGUGUUUUGUCUGGUUUUUUGGGGGGUUUUUUUACCUCAUUUGUUACUAACAAAGUUCACCAAACUCACACAGUUUACAUUCUGUAUGCUUCCAUCUUUACCAGCCACAGUCUAACUGCAUUUAAGAAAAUAAUCCUUAGAAAUCGUUGUUUUUCUCUUUUGUAAUUGAUGAUAAUUCAGUGAAUAUACUGCGCUGCUUCCUUUUAUUGCGUCUCACAUUGCUUUAAGUUUUUCAGUGUCCAGUUAUUUUUUACUGCUAUAAAUGGUAAAUGGCCUGUAUUUAUAUAGCGCUUUACUAGUCCCUAAGGACCCUAAAGCACUUUACAUAUCCAGUCAUCCACCCAUUCACACACACAUUCACACACUGGUGAUGGCAAGCUACGUUGUAGCCACAGCCACCCUGGGGCGCACUGACAGAGGCGAGGCUGCUGUUUGAACUCUCUGUAUGUUUGACCCUGUAGACUGUUUGAUGGACUGCUUGUCUUGUAAUUGCUGCCUGUUUUUGACUAAAGAUUUGGAUUUCUGACUUUAACACAGCCUCUGCGUGUCCUCCCUUUGUGUCCUCUUCCUCUGUGAAUGUGUUGCAUGUGUCACAGAUUCAUUUUAUUAACAGCUUUCCCACAGUGAGUUGCAUCAGCAUUCAUUCACAGCACAUUUCAGAAGGAUUCAGAUUGAUACAGUGAUCUUAUAGUCAGAAUUAUCCUGACAGACUGCCACUGUAAAUUAUCUUUCAUCAGCUAAAUUUUAAAGUUCAGUAUUUCAAAGCAGGCGUUAUGAAGAAUCAUAUUGGCAUUAGGACUGUAACAAUAUGUACUUACAAAGUCAAAGUUUUUUUUAUUAUGCUAGAAUAUUGGAAGACAAUCAACUUUUAGUGUUUUCUGCAUAUUAAUUAUACUGAAAUAGAGAUGGUGACCCUUACUGUACAGAAGUAUACUAAACAACUGACAAUCUAACAAACAUUAUUGGCCUGAGCCGUCAUGCACAGUGAGUCUGAUCCUGUGCUGUGAGAGUCUGACAAGCAUGUUUCUGGUCAGUUUGGAAGAAAUAAUAUCACAAUCUUGAUCUUUUUUUCAAUAUUCC
rnacentral:lncRNA from 1 species